GACGUAGGGCGCGAGCGUUUGUCCGGGAUUUAUUAGGGCGUAAAGAGCUCGUUAGGCGGCUUGUCGCGUACGUUCGUGAAAACCUGCAGCUCAACUGCAGGCGUUGCGGUCGAUACGGGCGAGGCGUAGAGUUCGGUAGGGGAGACUGGAAUUCCUGGUGUAGCGGUGAAAUGCGGACAGCGUAUCAGGAGGACACCGGUGGGCGAAGGCGGGUCUCUGG
rnacentral:rRNA from 1 species